GGCCGGAUAAGGCGUUUACGCCGCAUCCGGCGGUUAUGCGCGAAUGCCUGAUGCGACGCUGGCGCGUCUUAUCAGGCC
rnacentral:ncRNA from 1 species